CGCAGAGAGAACCCCUUGGGAAGAAAUGCCAAGUCAGUCUGGAACACAGGCUAGUUCCACCUCCCCCGUGACACUUGCUAACGUUGCUUCGCUGAUGUCCACAGAAAUUGUUGCAGUGUUUACAAAUAAAUCUCCAAAUAUUUAACAAAAGUGGUGCAAAAUACGCUAACUAGGUCUCAGUGUUCUUAACGAAACGGGACAUUUUUCCAAACGCAGUGCUGAAUUGGGCUUUGUUUCUUUUUAAAAUCGCUUCACUUCCUCCUUCCUUCCGUUUCACCGGCAGAGUGUGAGGGGUCAAGAAUGUUUUGUGAGUUUAGAUACAUUUAGAUAAAUUGCUCAAAUCGCCCAAGGUGACCCUAUAGACUAGUAUCCUGGUUCGCCCAGACAAGCGUCCCGCUGCCGUCAGCGCGCGGUUAUGAACAGCAUCCCCUCGCUCUUAAAGGUCUUGGUGUGGACGGUCCACCACCUCGUACAUAGGAAAAGGAGAGGCACCUGCACGUGGCGGCGUAUCUGGAAUCGAGGUACUUACCGCGGAAGAAUGAGGACUCCAAAGAUUUAGUAAUGUGCACCCCACAUCUGCUUGCAUCUCUGGCCAGUCGAAAGCUGGUAAGGGAAACUCACCGUUGUCCCUCGUCAACCUCGUCAGGUCUGUUUUACUGUGCGGGUCAAAAGGCAAGGCGGAAAGAAGGACUGGUGCCUGAGGAAGGCUUCCAGGAGGAACAGAGAGGCCAGGGGCUCCGGCAGCGACUCUGCAGCUACCAUUCCUGCUAUCAGCAAAGACUGAAGAGGGGUGAUGGGAGAGAGGCCCGCGGCCGCCACAGAGCAAGGAAACCAGAAGGAUGGUGGGAGGGGAGGUGUAGAAAACACAGUGAGGUUUCUCGACUUACUUUUCUCCUGCCUUCUGAACAUUCAAUUCCCACUGGGAACUAAAGGUCCUCUCCCCAAUCCUUGCUUCCCAUCCCACGAACUGAAAUAACAAGGUCCGUGAAGCCAAGGAUGGGAUGGGACAGCUCCUCCGAAGGAGCUCAUUUCAGUAACAGCGCCGAGUGGGAGGGCCGGUCUUUUGUACUUCACCAAAGUGUCCCAACUGUUGAAAAUUUCAAACUGGUCCGUUAGUAGAAAUAAUGAGUUAAAUUUUUUCAUGGAAGCAACUGAAUUGUGUACUGGCAUGCUUAGGUUUAUAGAAACGACAAAAUUUAUUGUCCUCUAGAAUAAACAUGGAAUAAUUAAAUACCCUGAAUGUCCCCCAUCGAGCUAAGGCGGUGAUACAACAGUCCCCGCCGGCGUUGCUCUGAGGCCCAGGGC
rnacentral:lncRNA from 1 species